AACGAACGCUGGCGGCAUGCCUAACACAUGCAAGUCGAACGAGACCUUCGGGUCUAGUGGCGCACGGGUGCGUAACGCGUGGGAACCUGCCCUUAGGUUCGGAAUAACUCCCCGAGGGGGGUGCUAAUACCGGUUAAUGUCUUCGGACCAAAGAUUUAUCGCCUUUGGGUGGGCCCGCGUUGGAUUAGCUAGUUGGUAGGGUAAAAGCCUACCAAGGCGACGACCCAUAGCUGGUCUGAGAGGAUGAUAAGCCACACUGGGACUGAGACACGGCCCAGACUCCUACGGGAGGCAGCAGUGGGGAAUAUUGGACGAUGGGCGAAAGCCUGAUCCAGCCAUGCCGCGUGAGUGAUGAAGGCCUUAGGGUUGUAAAGCUCUUUUACCCGGGAUGAUAAUGACAGUACCGGGAGAAUAAGCUCCGGCUAACUACGUG
rnacentral:rRNA from 1 species